rnacentral:ncRNA from 2 species
UCCUAGCCCAGAUAGGAACGGUAUCCUUUUUAUUUUUCUUUAAAAAAUAAAAAGAUAAAGUGGAUAGCUGGAAAUAGC